GACGAACGCUGGCGGCGGGCUUAACACAUGCAAGUCGAACGGAAAGUCCGUUCGUUUUUUUGGUGCUCGAGUGGCGAACGGGUGCGUAACACGUGUGUAACCUGCCCGCGACUGUGGGAUAACUUCACGAAACUGGAGCUAAUCCCCCAUAAGAGCUCCUGCUGCCUUGUGGGUAUUGUAAAGUUUCGGCGGGUGGGGAUGGACUCGGCGCUUGUCUUGUUGGUUGGGGGGGAGUGGCUUACCAAGGCCUUUACGGGUAGCCGGCCUGAGGGGGUGAACGGCGACACUGGGAAUGCGAUAACGCCAAGACUCAUAAGGGAGGCAGCAGUGGGGAAUAUUGCACAAUGGGCGGAAGCCUGAUGCAGCAACGCAGCGUGUGGGAUGACGGACUUCGGGUUGUAAACCGCUUUAGCCUGUGACGAAGCGUGAGUGACGGUAAUGGGUAAAGAAGCAACGGCUAACUACGUG
rnacentral:rRNA from 1 species